CUUCGACAGGGCUGCUACGUACCAAGAGUUCCUCAGACUGACCCAUGAUGGCACCCAGCUACAGAACUUUACCCUGGAUCCAAACAGUCUCCUGGUGGAUGGAUAUUCUACCAAGAGAACAGAUGAAAAAACUAAGAAAAUUGACCUGCCCUACUGGGCCAUCAUUCUCAUGUGCCUGGCUAUGCUCCUGGGGCUCAUCCUUUGCCUUCUGUCCUGC